rnacentral:rRNA from 1 species
UAGGGAAUCUUCCACAAUGGACGCAAGUCUGAUGGAGCAACGCCGCGUGAGUGAAGAAGGUUUUAGGAUCGUAAAGCUCUGUUGUUGGUGAAGAAGGAUAGAGGUAGUAACUGGCCUUUAUUUGACGGUAAUCAACCAGAAAGUCACGGCUAACUACGUGCCAGCAGCCGCGGUAAUACGUAGGUGGCAAGCGUUGUCCGGAUUUAUUGGGCGUAAAGCGAGCGCAGGCGGAAGAAUAAGUCUGAUGUGAAAGCCCUCGGCUUAACCGAGGAACUGCAUCGGAAACUGGUUUGCUUGAGGGAAGAAGAAGAGAGUGGAAAUCCAUGUGUAGCGGUGGAAUGCGUAGAUAUAUGGAAGAACACCAGUGGCGAAGGCGAAUCUCUGGUCUGCAACUGACGCUGAGGCUCGAAAGCAUGGGUAGCGAACAGG